rnacentral:rRNA from 1 species
UACGUAGGGUGCAAGCGUUAAUCGGAAUUACUGGGCGUAAAGCGUGCGCAGGCGGUUUUGUAAGUCUGUCGUGAAAUCCCCCGGGCUCAACCUGGGAAUUGCGAUGGAGACUGCAAGGCUAGAAUCUGGCAGAGGGGGGGUAGAAUUCCACGUGUGAGCAGUGAAAUGCGUAGAGAUGUGGAGGAACACCGAUGGCGAAGGCAGCCCCCUGGGUCAAGAUUGACGCUCAUGCACGAAAGCGUGGGGAGCAAACGAAGGAUUAGA